GUAGGUGGCGAGCGUUGUCCGGAUUUACUGGGCGUAAAGGGCGCGUAGGGCGGUCUGCUAAGUCCGGGGGGUGAAAUCUCCCGGGCUCAACUGGGAGGGGUCCUCGGAUACUGGUAGGCUUGAGGGGAGCAGAGGAGAGCGGAACUCCCGGUGUAGUGGUGAUAUGCGUAGAUAUCGGGAGGAACACCAGUGGCGAAGGCGGCUCACUGGCCCGGUACUGACGCUGAGGCGCGAAAGCGUGGGGAGCAAACAGGAUUAGAUACCCUGGUAGUCCACGCCGUAAACUAUGGGUGCUAGCCGUCGGUCGGCAUGCCGGUCGGUGGCGCAGCAAACGCAUUAAGCACCCCGCCUGGGGAGUACGGUCGCAGGAUUA
rnacentral:rRNA from 1 species